rnacentral:rRNA from 1 species
AUGGAGAAAAAUAAAAGUCCUGGACCAGAUGGCUUACCCACUGAAUUCUACCAGAAUUUCUGGGAUUUAGUAAAAUGGGAGUUAAAAGAAUUACUGUAUGACUUUCACUCUGGUAAGCUGGAUAUAUCUAGGCUGAACUAUGGGAUCACCCUAGUGCCCAAAGUCAAAGAUGCUAGACAAAUACAAAAAUUCAGGCCUAUUUUCUUACUAAAUGUGAGCUUCAAAAUCAUCACUAAGGUGUUCAUGGAUAGACUUAGCAGAGUGAUCAGACCAAUUAUUUCCCCAAAUCAAACAGCCUUUAUAAAAGGGAGAUAUAUAAUGGAGGGAGUGGCAGUGCUACAUGAAGCACUAAAUACAAUGCAUAAAAAGAAGCAACGUGCCCUUCUUUUUAAGGUAGAUUUUGAGAAAGCAUAUGAUAAGAUCAAGUGGCCUUUUGUAUAUAAAAUAUUGAAACUCAAAAAAUUCCCUGAUAAAUUGUGUGACAUGGUGAUGCACACCAUGGUAGGAGGACAUGUGGGAGUUAAAGUGAAUGAUGAAAUUGGGCCUUAUUUUAAAACCUUUAAAGGGUUGAGACAAGGAGAUUCCUUGUCACCUUUAAUUUUUGAUAUUGUUGCAGAUGCAUUAGCCAUUAUAUUGGAUAAUGCUAUGCAGGAAGGGUUUGUAAAAGGGGCACUUUCUGAAUUGAACAACUGUGAAGUAAAUAUGCUGCAAUAUGUAGAUGACACAAUUUUCUUAUUACAAGGUGAUGAAGCUAGUACAAAAAAUCUGAAGUUCAUUCUGACAGCAUUUGAAUAG